AACAAACGCUGGCGGCGUGCCUAACACAUGCAAGUCGUGCGAGAAAGUUCCUUCGGGAGCGAGUAAAGCGGCGCACGGGUGAGUAACACGUAGGUAACCUGCCCCCCAGUCUGGAACAACUAGAGGAAACUCUAGCUAAUGCCGGAUGAGACCACGAUCCCUUCGGGGGUUGCGGCCAAAGAUGGCCUCUACUUGUAAGCUAUCGCUGAGGGAUGGGCCUGCGGGCCAUUAGCUUGUUGGUGAGGUAACGGCUCACCAAGGCUGUGAUGGCUAGCUGGUCUGAGAGGAUGACCAGCCACACUGGGACUGAGACACGGCCCAGACUCCUACGGGAGGCAGCAGUGGGGAAUAUUGCGCAAUGGGCGAAAGCCUGACGCAGCGACGCCGCGUGGGUGAUGAAGGCCU
rnacentral:rRNA from 1 species